rnacentral:rRNA from 1 species
CCUAGUGGCUAUGGCGGAGGGGGAAACACCCGUUCCCAUCCCGAACACGGAAGUUAAGCCCUCCAGCGCCGAUGGUAGUUGGGGCCAGCGCCCCUGCAAGAGUAGGUCGCUGCUAGGC